rnacentral:rRNA from 1 species
UACAGAGGUCUCAAGCGUUGUUCGGAUUCAUUGGGCGUAAAGGGUGCGUAGGCGGGUCUUUAAGUCAGGGGGGAAAUCCUGGAGCUCAACUCCAGAACUGCCUUUGAUACUGAAGAUCUUGAGUUCGGGAGAGGUGAGUGGAACUGCGAGUGUAGAGGUGAAAUUCGUAGAUAUUGGGAAGAACACCGGUGGCGAAGGCGGCGCUCUGGACCGAGACUGACGCUGAGGCGCGAAAGCGUGGGGAGCAAACAGG